rnacentral:sRNA from 1 species
AAAAGUGCUCUCACCCGCGUAAAAGAGAGCACAC